rnacentral:rRNA from 1 species
GACGAACGCUGGCGGCGUGCUUAACACAUGCAAGUCGAACGAAGUGGCGGACGGGUGAGUAACGCGUAAUCAACCUGCCCUUCAGAGGGGAACAACAGUGGGAAACGACGGCUAAUACCGAAUACUGAAGGAGGGGAUGGCGUUGGAUUAGCUAGUUGGAGGGGUAACGGCCAACCAAGGCGAUGAUCAGUAGCCGGUCUGAGAGGAUGAACGGCCACAUUUGGACUGAAACACGGCCCAGACUCCCACGGGAGGCAGACGUGGGGAAUUGUCCGAAAUGGACGAAAGUCUGACGGCGCAACGCCGCGUGAGUGAUGACGGCCUUCGGGUUGGAAGGCUCUGUUAAUCGGGACGCGGUACCGGAAUAGAAAGCCACGGCUAACUCCGUGCCAGCAGCCGCGGUAAUAC